CAUCAACGCUGGCGGCGUGCCUAACACAUUCACGUCGAUCGAGAAAGUGGAGCAAUCCAUGAGUACCGUGCCGAACGGGUGAGCAACACGUGACUAACCUACCCUCCCGUGGGGGAUAACCUCGGGAAACCGCGGCUAAGACCGCAUAACCUCGAGAGGUGUGCUUCCUUGCGCGCAAAGGGGUAAGGCGCUGGAUGAGGGGGUCGCGGCCGAUUAGCUAGUUGGCGUGGUAGCGGCACACGAAGGCGAUGAUCGGUAGCCGGCCUGAGAGGGCGAAGGGCCAGACUGGAACUCAACCACGGCCCCGACGGCUACGGGAGGCAGCAGUGUGGAAGCUUGCAAAAGGGGGGAAACCCUGGUGCAGCAACGCCGCGUAGAGGAUGAAGUCCCUUGGGAUGUAAACUCCUUUCGACUGGGACGAUAAUGACGGUACCGGUGGAAGAAGCCCCGGCUGACUCCGUGCCUGCCGCCGCGGUAA
rnacentral:rRNA from 1 species